GGCUCGAUAGCUCAGCUGGAUAGAGCAUUGGAUUCCGGAUCCAACGGUCGCAGGUUCGAAUCCUGUUCGAGUCG
rfam:Tenericutes bacterium GWF2_57_13 gwf2_scaffold_4889, whole genome shotgun sequence.